rnacentral:snRNA from 1 species
CGUCGCCUACGAUGGCUU